UACGGAGGGUGCGAGCGUUGUCCGGAAUCAUUGGGCGUAAAGGGCGCGUAGGUGGCUUCUUAAGCGGGCGGUGAAAGCCUGGGGCUCAACCCCGGGUCGGCCGUGCGAACUGGGGGGCUUGAGCACUGUAGAGGCAGGCGGAAUUCCGGGUGUAGCGGUGGAAUGCGUAGAGAUCCGGAGGAACACCGACGGCGUAGGCAGCGCCCUGGCUGUGAAUAAAGCUGACACUGAGGCACGAAAGCUGGGGGAGCAAACAGG
rnacentral:rRNA from 1 species